GCUGUAACAAGGUCACUCAGUUGUAAAUGUGAGCCAGAGCGCAACGGUAGGAACUGAUCCAUUUAAUCCAGAAAUAUAAAGGGAUGAUGACUCCACCUGGGCAGCCCAUUCCAAUGGCAAAUCACUCUCUCUGGGAAGAACUUCCUCCUAACAUCCAGCCUAUACUUCUCCCGGCACAACUUGAGACUGUGUCCCCUUGUUCUAUUGCUGGUUGCCUUGCAGAAGAGACCAACCCCCACCUGGCUACAGCCUCCCUUCAGGUGAAGGCCCUUUGGCUGAAAGCUUUCCAAGCUGAGUUUAAAAGGACUACUAGUGACAACAAAUGAGAUUUCUCUGUAGCUCUUCUUCGUGAAGAAAUAAGCUGAAAAGUGGACACACUCUGAAGCAAUGAAGAACUACACUCAAUAGAGAAGGAUUAAGAAACCAAUUAUUUUAACAAAUUAUAUAGAUUGAAGUUCACGACUUGGUUAAUUCACAUGUGCAGGGGGAACUGGUCAAUAUCACUACAAGGCCACUGUCUUAUCUUGGACUGCCACAGUGACUGAGGAAGACUCCUGAGGAAUGGAAGAAAGCAAGGAUAAUUCAACAAACAAUAGGCCAGUCAGCCUUAUUUUGAUCACUGGAAAGGAGGAGCAUCAUGUAAUCCUGGAAACUCUGUUGGUGGGUGUUGGUCUUUACUGCUGGGAUAGUGGCAGGACAAGGAGGGAUGUGGAAGUAGUUCUCUGGCUUGGGCUUUUGGCUCGCUUGCUUCUGUUUGCUGCUGCUUUGUGCAGCACUGUGUAAAUAAGUUAUGGUAAUAAGGAAUUUUGUACUAUGUUUAUCUGAUUUUGCUCAGUAAAGUAUUCUUCUCUUGCUUUUUUUGGUCUCAA